AUUGAACGCUGGCGGCAUGCCUUACACAUGCAAGUCGAACGGUAACGCGGGGCAACCUGGCGACGAGUGGCGAACGGGUGAGUAAUGCAUCGGAACGUGCCCAUCAGUGGGGGAUAGCCCGGCGAAAGCCGGAUUAAUACCGCAUACGACCUGAGGGUGAAAGCGGGGGACCGUAAGGCCUCGCGCUGAUGGAGCGGCCGAUGUCGGAGUAGCUAGUUGGUGGGGUAAAGGCUUACCAAGGCAACGAUCCGGAGCUGGUCUGAGAGGACGACCAGCCACACUGGGACUGAGACACGGCCCAGACUCCUACGGGAGGCAGCAGUGGGGAAUUUUGGACAAUGGGCGCAAGCCUGAUCCAGCCAUGCCGCGUGCGGGAAGAAGGCCUUCGGGUUGUAAACCGCUUUUGUCAGGGAAGAAACGGUCUGAACUAAUACUUUGGACUAAUGACGGUACCUGAAGAAUAAGCACCGGCUAACUACGUGCCAGCCGCCGCAGUAAGAC
rnacentral:rRNA from 1 species